CUAAAUUGGAUUUCUAAAUAACUAUUUCACUAUGUGUAGAGUGGCUAUGAAUUAAAUAAAAUAAUAAAUAUAAAGUUCCGGGCUGGGUGCAGUGGCUCAGGCCUGUAAUCCCAGCACUUUGGGAGGCCAAGACAAGUGGAUCGCUUGAAUUCAGUAGUUCAAGACCAGCCUGGGCAACAAAGGGAAACUCUGUCUCUACAAAAAA